UACGAAGGGGGCUAGCGUUGUUCGGAUUUACUGGGCGUAAAGCGCACGUAGGCGGAUUGUUAAGUCAGGGGUGAAAUCCUGGAGCUCAACUCCAGAACUGCCUUUGAUACUGGCAAUCUCGAGUCCGGAAGAGGUGAGUGGAACUCCUAGUGUAGAGGUGGAAUUCGUAGAUAUUCGGAGGAACACCAGUGGCGAAGGCGGCUCACUGGUCCGGUACUGACGCUGAGGUGCGAAAGCCAGGGGAGCGAACGGG
rnacentral:rRNA from 1 species